UUACUGAACAGUGGCGCAGUAUCCUAGUCAGAUCUGCCAUCUCCUAAGAAGGGCCUAAAAAUCCUUUAAAGGGCACAACUGUGAAUCCUCUGGUGCCUGCUUCUUACGCCCAGUUUGGGGUGGGUGCUGGAGGAAGGCGCGGCAUAUGUGCCGUGCCUGCGGAUUCAGGGCGCCCUCCAAUGGCAUGGAGGACCCGACCCUGCUUUCGUGGAGACCUGCUAUUGUGCACAGGCGUACUCCCUUUGUGGUCAAGCGACCUGUGUACGAAGCAGAUUGAGAACCUGCAUUGCGGUGCUAAAGCGGCCUGCGGCCGCUGUAACGCUGUGUGCAGAGUAGCCUGCCUUGCGUGGGCAGGGUGGAUAGGGGAGCUCAUGCGUGAACUCCCCGGCCAGGGAGCUAACGCUAUUCCCUUGAAACCCUGUCUGCAAAAGAGGCUAAGAGAUGGUUUGACUGUGGUGGAAAUCACCUAGGCUGUCUUCAUCGGGCACCGAAGGGAUUGCAGUGCGGACUAAGUGGCAGUCGGGUAUCAUGGCGGGCAACACCAUGAUGCAGUACCGAACGGGAAACCGCCUGAUCGGCAACGAGAGGUGUGCUGCAGGGAAAUCCAACCCGUACCUAAGCCGUAAGAUUUACUUUCGGAGCUGCCCUGU
rnacentral:sRNA from 1 species